CUGUAUACAUGAAAUUCAGUGAAUAAUCGAAACGACUGGCCCAAUAGUAUAUGCCUCAUUUUGUUAUUUAUAAAAAUAAACACAUCCCAAUUUUGGUAUGCUCUGCAGCUCUGGCUGAAAUGUAUUUUGAUAAGAUUCCAGUUAUGAAUUCACUCCUCCACUCUCUCCAGUAAUUUUAUAGCUCAGUGGUAUGAACGGGCGAUACCGGACCAAAGUCUGAAACAAUAAAGUGUAGCAGUGGCAUUGCCGUCGAUUAGUGAUGAAAUAUCCUUCAAGCUUCGAGAGGUUUAGUAAAAGUCUCUUGGCGCUGCGCGACUCGGGGAUUUUACUAAACCUCUCUCGGUUUUCGGGUACAUUUAAUCACUAAUCUCCUUGAAUGCCUUGCUAUUACUCAUGGGCGUACCGGAAGGAAAAAAUUAG